rnacentral:other from 1 species
UCAUCCCUGGGGUGUUCGUUCGUUGGUGUAGUUCCUCGAGCCUAUUCUUCCAAAAUGGGUGCUGUUUUGUGGUUAUUGUGUGCAUGUCCGUUUACGGAAAGCCUAAUGUAAUUCAGUAGCUCCCUCCUUGAACCUCCGGGUUCAGGACCAAAGCCGAUACCGGCACUUUGGGGACCUU